UGAGGAGUGAAGUCUGUCUGUGAGGUGAUUCUGAAGGAGGCCUGAGGCCUAGUCCAGCAACCACGCCUCAGUUAACCCCACUACCCAGGUGAAAGUCAAAGCAUGGCGAUGUUCUCCAGUCAAAAAACAAGUUCAACAUACAAGACUAGGGAACCACGUUAACAUUGGAGACUAACCAAAGAAUUUGGACUGAGAAAUUAUCACUUCGAAAACACAACGUAAUGUAAACUGUUCAUGAAGUUUACACUGAAGCUCCUUCACAUCCUGGACUUCCCCUGGACUUUCAGCCACCAGUCUGUCUCUUAAAUUGGAUAUUAACAAUUCUAGAUCACUUUUCUGUGCAUUAUAUCUGAGGAUAAAGUAGGACAAAUACUUGUUAGUAUGUCUAUCUGAUAAAGUGGGGGGAACCUAUAUGCUUCUUAACAUGUUCACAUUAGAUUACUUAUGGAUCUUUGUUUUUCCAAUUGACUUAGGUUGUGUUUACUUUUUUAUGAAACCUCUAUAUACUGUUUGUUUUCAUCCACCUGAGGUGGCCCAGUACAGGAGUUGCACCUCUGUACCAUUGCUGCCCUGUCAGGCAGACUCUAUUCAGUGACCCCUGCCCCCCCCCCCCCCCUCAUUUAUGUUCCCUAAAUAGUUAAUAAGCAUCUAUGUUAUCUAAUGUACUGUGUAUAUAUAGUUAUGUGCCUUUAAAUACCGUUGUCAUGUGUUGUAACCAAGGAAGGUACCAGUGACCAUGUGACCUAUAGAGUGACCUAUGGGACCCCUCCAGAGUCUCCGGAUAUAAACCAUGGA